GGACGAACGCUGGCGGCGUGCCUAACACAUGCAAGUCGAGCGAGGAGAUUCCUCGGGAUGAUCCUAGCGGCGGACGGGUGAGUAACACGUGGGCAACCUGCCUCAUAGAGAGGAAUAGCCUUCCGAAAGGGAGAUUAAUACCUCAUAACAUUGCAGUUUCGCAUGGAACAGCAAUUAAAGGAGCAAUCCGCUAUGAGAUGGGCCCGCGGCGCAUUAGCUAGUUGGUGAGGUAACGGCUCACCAAGGCGACGAUGCGUAGCCGACCUGAGAGGGUGAUCGGCCACAUUGGGACUGAGACACGGCCCAGACUCCUACGGGAGGCAGCAGUGGGGAAUAUUGCACAAUGGGGGAAACCCUGAUGCAGCCAACGCCGCGUGAGUGAUGACGGCCUUCGGGUUGUAAAGCUCUGUCUUCAGGGACGAUAAUGACGGUACCUGAGGAGGAAGCCACGGCUAACUACGUGCCAGCAGCAGC
rnacentral:rRNA from 1 species